rnacentral:rRNA from 1 species
ACGAAGGGGGCUAGAGUUGUUCGGAAUCACUGGGCGUAAAGCGCGCGUAGGCGGACCGUUAAGUCGGAGGUGAAAGCCUGGAGCUCAACUCCAGAACUGCCUUCGAUACUGGCGGCAUCGAGUCCGGGAGAGGUGUGUGGAACUGCUAGUGUAGAGGUGAAAUUCGUAGAUAUCAGCAAGAACACCGGUGGCGAAGGCGGCACCCUGGUCCGGUACUGACGCUGAGGUGCGAAAGCGUGGGGAGCAAACAG